CGGCGGGUUGUUAAGUUGUUGCAGUUAAAGCUCGUAGUUGAAUUUCGUCACCGGCCCUGGGUCCCUCUCGCGAGGCGUACUCAGCGCUUGUGACUUUGCCCUACUAGUGUGUGCGUUCGCGUGCACUCAUAGAGGGCGUUUACUGUGAGAAAAUUAGAGUGUUCAAAGCAGGCGUUUCGCUCGAAUACGUUAGCAUGGAAUAAUAGAAUAGGACGAGGGUUCUAUUUUGUUGGUUCUAGGACCGUCGUAAUGAUUAAUAGGGAUGGUCGGGGGCAUCAGUAUUCAGUAGUAAGAGGUGAAAUUCUUGGAUUUACUGAAGACUAACUGCUGCGAAAGCGUUUGCCAAGGACAUCUUCAUUAAUCAAGAACGAAAGUUAGGGGAUCGAAGACGCUUAGAUACCGUCGUAGUCUUAACCGUAAACUAUGCCGACUCUGAAUCGGCCUCUUGAACUUUAUGGGAGGUCGGCGCAGUGUGAGAAAUCAAAGUUUUUAGGUUCUGGGGGGAGUAUGGU
rnacentral:rRNA from 1 species